rnacentral:rRNA from 1 species
AUUGAACGCUGGCGGCAGGCCUAACACAUGCAAGUCGAGCGGCAGCGGAAAGUAGCUUGCUACUUUGCCGGCGAGCGGCGGACGGGUGAGUAAUGUCUGGGAAACUGCCUGAUGGAGGGGGAUAACUACUGGAAACGGUAGCUAAUACCGCAUAACGUCGCAAGACCAAAGAGGGGGACCUUCGGGCCUCUUGCCAUCAGAUGGGCCCAGAUGGGAUUAGAUAGUAGGUGGGGUAACGGCUCACCUAGGCGACGAUCCCUAGCUGGUCUGAAAGGAGGACCAGCCACACUGGAACUGAGACACGGUCCAGACUCCUACGGGAGGCAGCAGUGGGGAAUAUUGCACAAUGGGCGCAAGCCUGAUGCAGCCAUGCCGCGUGUAUGAAGAAGGCCUUCGGGUUGUAAAGUACUUUCAGCGGGGAGGAAGGUGUUGAGGUUAAUAACCUCAGCAAUUGACGUUACCCGCAGAAGAAGCACCGGCUAACUCCGUGCCAGCCGCCGCCGUAACAC